CCUACGGGUGGCAGCAGUGGGGAAUAUUGCACAAUGGGCGAAAGCCUGAUGCAGCAACGCCGCGUGAGCGAUGAAGGCAUUCGGGUCGUAAAGCUCUGUCCUCAAGGGAGAAAAUGACGGUACUUGAGGAGGAAGCACCGGCUAACUACGUGCCAGAAGCCGCGGUAAUACGUAGGGGGCUAGCGUUAUCCGGAAUUACUGGGCGUAAAGGGUGCGUAGGUGGUUUUUUAAGUCGGAGGUGAAAGGCUAGGGCUCAACCGUGGUAAGCCUUUGAAACUGGGGAACUUGAGUGCAGGAGGGGAGAGUGGAAUUCCUGGUGUAGCGGUGAAAUGCGUAGAUAUUAGGAGGAACACCGGUUGCGAAGGCGGCUCUCUGGACUGUAACUGACGCUGAGGCACGAAAGCGUGGGGAGCAAACAGGAUUAGAUACCCCGGUAGUC
rnacentral:rRNA from 1 species